rnacentral:rRNA from 1 species
AGACGUCUACAUUAGAUACCCCCGUAGUCCUAGCCGUAAACGAUACUCGCUAGGUGUCGGCCACGGUGCGACCGUUGUCGGUGCCGUAGGGAAGCCGUGAAGCGAGCCACCUGGGAAGUACGGCCGCAAGGCUGAAACUUAAAGGAAUUGGCGGGGGAGCACAACAACGGGUGGAGCUUGCGGUUUAAUUGGAUUCAACGCCGGAAAUCUUACCGGGACCGACAGCAACAUGAAGGCCAAGCUGAAGACUUUGCCGGAUUAGCUG